AAACUCUGUUGGGGGGUGUUUGGGGAGUGUGAAGGAAUGUUGAGUGAAGUAGGGCAGGAAGGAACCCAAGGACUGAGGGUAGCAGCUCUGGCACAGUGCAGAGCUUGUAUCUCUGUGCAUUUGGGAUGGCUUGAGAAACGCUGAGAGAGAAUGAAGCAGUUACAGUGCCUGACUUCAGCCUCACUGUCUGGAACCAAGGAGAAGAAAAUGGGCACAGGGAUGCUGAGUACCUAUGACGUGCCACAGAAGCUGAGGAAUGGUGGUUUCGAGCUGAGAGUGAUGCACUGAAAGAGGAUGAGGAGCUGAGCAUGACCCCUCGGACCCACUCACACCAGUGCUGCUAACUAGUUCUGUGUUCCUCAGAGCCUGCAGGAGCUGUGUGCUGAUACAUUUGCAUGGCUGUGGACUGAACUGCAUCCACCUGCAGCCCUGAUCUGGAGACGUUUGUGGUGCUGUUCUCGGCUCAGUUGGUGCUUAACCUCCCCAUGUCCUUGCCCUGGCCGUGCCACCCUCCGUUCCCCACUGUUCUAGCUUUCCUUCCCACUCCUCCCGGUAUCCCUUACAUCCACCCCGAGGCGGGAGGAAGGUGGGAAGGACGGGUGGCAUUGAUCAAUGACUCCUUCCUGCCCAGCCAGGAACCCAACCCGCCCAACUUUAUUGCUGCAACCAGAUCCCGGCUCGAGGGAUGUUACCACAACCCGGUUUGCCCACGGGGGCCCAAAGAACAAAUACCUUCCUAACAGCCGUGACUUCAGCCCGCACAUGUCCCGCGCCCCGGAUGGCUCCUCUGACAGAGGAAGACCCUGCCAGGAUUUACAGGGCCCGACCACUUCCUGAAAUUGCUGCUCCUGCUCAUUAUAUCUCGGUCCCGGGUCCGGAUCCACGUUUGAAGGGAAAGGAGAGCCCUGGGAAGGAAGUGGGAGGAGGUGUGCGUGUCCCAGUGGUACGGCUGGGGGAUGGCGACAGACCCCACUAUGGCCGAGUCUUUUUACUACCUGUGAUGGAAAAUGAGUGCCAGCUGCAAAUCAAGGAUUUCAACAGCCUCUCUGAAGGCAUGUCAAGCAUUUUAUGGCUGGAAAUACAUUCAGGGUUU
rnacentral:lncRNA from 7 species